rnacentral:rRNA from 1 species
AGUUCGAUCAUGGCUCAGGAUGAACGCUGGCGGCAUGCCUAAUACAUGCAAGUCGAACGGAGUGAAGCCUUCGGGUUUCAUUCAGUGGCGAACGGGUGAGUAAUACGCAGGGAACCUGGCCAUGGCAGGGGGAUACACUCUGGAAACGGAGCAUAAGACCCCAUAGGCAGUAAGGCGGCAUCGCCUUGCUGUUAAAGAAAGCUGAAAGGCUUUGGCGAUGGAUGGACCUGCGGUGCAUUAGCUUGUUGGUGAGGCAACGGCUUACCAAGGCGAUGAUGCAUAGCCGGCCUGAGAGGGCGGACGGCCACACUGGGACUGAGACACGGCCCAGACUCCUGCGGGAGGCAGCAGUAGGGAAUUUUCGUCAAUGGGCGCAAGCCUGAACGAGCAAUGCCGCGUGAGUGAGGAAGGUCUUCGGACUGUAAAGCUCUGUUGCCGGGGAAAAAGGGGAAAUGCAGGAAAUGGCAUUUCAUGGAUGGUACCCGGCCAGAAAGCCACGGCUAACUACGUGCCAGCAGCCGCGGUAAUACGUAGGUGGCGAGCGUUAUCCGGAAUGAUUGGGCGUAAAGGGUGCGCAGGCGGUCUGUUAAGUCUGAAGGCAAAGGGAUGAGCUCAACUCAUUUAUGAUUCAGAAACUGGCAGACUUGAGGACAGGAGAGGGCGGUGGAACUCCAUGUGUAGCGGUAAAAUGCGCAGAGAUAUGGAAGAACACCAGUGGCGAAGGCGACCGCCUGGCCUGUGACUGACGCUGAGGCACGAAAGCGUGGGGAGCAAAUAGGAUUAGAUACCCUAGUAGUCCACGCCGUAAACGAUGAGGAGCAGGUGUUGGGAGUGAAAUCUCAGUGCCGAAGCCAACGCAGUGACUCCUCCGCCUGGGGAGUAUGCACGCAAGUGUGAAACUCAAAGGAAUUGACGGGGGCCCGCACAAGCGGUGGAGUAUGUGGUUUAAUUCGAAGCAACGCGAAGAACCUUACCAGGUUUUGACAUCGGAUGCGAAGGCGCAGAGAUGCGCUGGAGGCUAUCAUCCAGACAGGUGGUGCAUGGUUGUCGUCAGCUCGUGUCGUGAGAUGUUCAGUUAAGUCUGGCAACGAGCGCAACCCCCGUGGUAUGUUACUAACGCAUUUGGGCGAGGGCUCAUAUCAGACUGCCGGUGACAAACCGGAGGAAGGCGGGGAUGACGUCAAAUCAUCAUGCCCCUUAUGACCUGGGCUACACACGUACUACAAUGGCGUCUACAGAGGGAAGCGACCCUGAGAAGGGAAGCGAAACCGGAAAAGGGCGUCCCAGUUCGGAUUGAAGUCUGCAACCCGACUUCAUGAAGAUGGAAUCGCUAGUAAUCGCGGAUCAGCAUGCCGCGGUGAAUACGUUCCCGGGCCUUGUACACACCGCCCGUCAAACCAUGGAAGCCGGCAACGCCCGAAGCCGGUGGCAUAACCUUUUAGGAGUGAGCCGUCGAAGGCGGGGCCGAUGACUGGGGUUAAGUCGUAACAAGGUAUCC